rnacentral:rRNA from 1 species
UCGAGUUUUUGAACGCAAGUUGCGCCCGAGGCCUGUCGGCCAAGGGCACGUCUGCCUGGGCGUCAUGCGUUGCAUUCGCUCCGUGCCAACACCAUCACACCUAUGAGUGUUUGGGGAAGGCUCGGAUGUGCAUAUUGGCUCAUCGUGCCCAUUGGCGCG